rnacentral:misc_RNA from 1 species
CAACCCUCAAGCCCUGGUUGCUUGGUGUUGGGCCCCUGCGGGCCUUGUCCCGCAGGCCCCGAAAGUCAGUGGCGGGCGCGCCGCGACCCCGAGCGUAGUAGUUUACUUUCUCGCUUAGGGCGUCCGGUGCUGUUCUCUAGCCGUAAAACAGCUCUUCGGAGAUUAUUACAA